GGGGGCGUGGUCAUCAAAGUGCUGAGACCUGAGACGAUUGUCUUUCUAUCUAUCCGAGGAUGGUUAUCGAUGGUUACGUUAGUCAUUACUCAUUACGGGGUAUUUUCUUUACUUUCUUUCUUGAAAUUGUCAAUUGAUCUUCAUAAGAAAAGUACAUUUCCUGAUUUCCUCAAAAUGUCGUAUCUUGCUGCAUGUUGCACGUUUCGUCACAUCUGAAAGCAGUGUGAAAUUACUUCAAAAAUGAUUGUGGAGCGUAAGUCGGCAUCCAGCUUCAUAAAAGUAACACUGGAUUUUCAAUAAUUCGUCUGCAGCAAUUUCUGGAAUAUUUGGAUAAUGACCGACAUGGGCGCAAAUACUUCCUUGCAAGAAACAUCUUCAUCGAAGAAAAUGGCAACCAGGAAGAAAUUGGCGUCGAAGACCAUAAAACGUGGAACUACUCAUGCCAGCACCAUCAGCUUGAACAGUUCCUUUCAACUUUGGCCAUGGCAGAAUUAAAUUAACCCAUCAUUGAAACUUGUGAGCAAUUUUAUCUGAGGCAAGAAGUAUUGAGGCGGUUGUUUCCCAUUUUGACAAACACCUAGAUGACAACCACACAUAACAAAUGUAAAGGUAACUCCUAUCUUGACGGGCCGGCCAGUUUGCAUAUCCUUCACGCUUGAAGGUCGAGGGAAACAUUGUGUAAAAUUGUCAAUGCGGCGGUGUAGAGAUUGGGUGAGAACUGGACGUGUUGCAUCAUUUUCAGCAGGUACAAUAGCCGCAAGGCUCAGCCAUUUGGUAUUGAUUUUGGUUUUUGUAGACCCAACCCCAGCAACGUCAACCUAAAGAAGGAAAGGCCAGUUUGCAUUUCCUUCACUUUCGAAGGUCACGGAGAUCAUUACGUAAAACUGUCAAUGCGGUGGUGUAGAGGUUGGGUGAGGACGACACGUGUAACAUAUCAAGCAGGAGAGAGAAAAGUCGACAAGGAUCAGUCGAACGAGUAUCUCCGACACGGUAACAACUUCAGCGCACUAUUGGUCACCAGCUGCAUUCUUCAUCGUAUCAUCAUCAGUUCGCAAUCCCAACAAACUGUGGCGUCGUGCUGCUGUUGGUUGUUGUCCUGAAAUACUACUCCACCGAGGCUUCAAAGUAUUACACUACAAUUUAUGCUGCCGCGAGAUGCAUCACUAAAGAGCUCGAGUUCUACAUCGUGAUCCCAUUCGUAUUAAGCCAUAACCAUUUGGUAUUAAUUUGAUAUUGUUUGUUGUACACCCACCCCCAGCAACGUCCAAUUAGCAUGUCCUUCACCCUUGAAGGUCGCGGAGAUCAUUAUGCAAAUCUGUCAAUGCGGUGGUGUAAGGUUGGGUGAGAACAGAAAGUGUUUGCUAUAUUAUCGAGGAGGUAUAAUAGUCGUAAGGCUUAAGAGAGGGGUCAGGGUGAGAAAAAGUCGUAUUAGUGGCAAGAGAAAAGUCAAUAGGGAUCAGUCGAGUGAGUAUCUCCAUCACGGCAACAACUGCAGCCCACUAUUUGUCACCAACUGCCUUCUUCAUUGUACAACCAGUUCGCAAUCACGGUUCACUCUGGCGCCGUGCUGCUGUUUGGUGUCUUAUCGUUGAAGGUUGGGUCGACCACGGGUUUACUGAUGUCUUCUGGUCAUGGUGGAGACCAAGCAACAGCAGCGAAAGAAUACUACACCACGCCGCCGCCUUACUACGCAACGAAGUCAACAUACGCAACAUCUACUUACAACACCGAGGCCCCCAAGUGCUACACCACCAAGGCUCAAGAGUUACGCUACAAAUAACGCUGCCCCGAGUUACAUCACCAAAGCGCCUGAGUACUACAUCCCCGAGGCACUACAACUGAGGCGGCGAAGUACUACGUAGCCUAUGCUUACAACACAGCAGCUGCUCCUUCAUACUACGUUGAACUGAAAUACUACACCAAGGCUGCAGUUAACUACACCACAACCUACGCUACACCUAGCUACUAUGACGAAGCCCCCAACUACUACACCGAAGAGGCCACAUGUUACACAUCAACGUACAGUGCCCCAGUUUACUACACCGAGGAACCCAAGUAUUACUCUGCUCCAAGCUACUACCAAACUGAGGCUCCUGUUUACCAAGGCCACCGAGUAUUAUACUACAACCAAACGUUAACUAUGGCGUCGUGCUGCUGUUGGUUGUAUUAUCCUUGAUGGCUGGGUUGACCACUGGUGUACCAAUGUCUCCUGGGUAUGGCGGAUACCAAACCGCAACGCCGGUGUCUUACUAUACAACAACAUACGCAGCAACCGGAUACUACACCCCCAAGGCCCUAGAGUAUUAAUUACACCAUAACUUAUGAAGUCCCGAACUUCUACACCGAAGCUUCGAAGUUUAACUCAGCCCCGGGUUAAACCACCAAGGCAGCGGAGUACUACACCACCAAGGCAGCGGAGUACUACACCACCAAGGCAGCGGAGUACUACACCACCAAGGCAGCGGAGUACUACACCACCAAGGCAGCGGAGUACUACACCACCAAGGCAGCGGAGUACUACACCACCAAGGCAGCGGAGUACUACACCACCAAGGCAGCGGAGUACUACACCACCAAGGCAGCGGAGUACUACACCACCAAGGCAGCGGAGUACUACACCACCAAGGCAGCGGAGUACUACACCACCAAGGCAGCGGAGUACUACACCACCAAGGCAGCGGAGUACUACACCACCAAGGCAGCGGAGUACUACACCACCAAGUCAGCGGAGUACUACACCACCAAGUCAGCGGAGUACUACACCACCAAGGCAGCGGAGUACUACACCACCAAGGCAGCGGAGUACUACACCACCAAGGCAGCGGAGUACUACACCACCAAGGCAGCGGAGUACUACACCACCAAGGCAGCGGAGUACUACACCACCAAGGCAGCGGAGUACUACACCACCAAGGCAGCUGCAUAUACGUACUACGUUGAACCGGAAUGCUAAACCGAGGCUCCAGUUUUCUAUACUACAGCCUGCGCUUCUCCUAGGUACUAUACUACCAAGGCAACUGAGUAUUACACCACUUCUUACGCUGCUACCACCUACUACACCGAAGCUCCGAAGUUGUACUCUGUGCUGAGUUACCACACCAUUAAGGAAGUCGAACAUUACACCACAAACGCUUCCGCAACUUACUACAUGGUGAUUCCGAAAUUUCUAUUUGAUUUUAUUUAGAUAUGUCGGUUUUCUUCAUGGUCAUUGGUCAUUGGGAAUUAAUUGUUGAUCUCGAUUGAGAAAAUAAAAUUUCUAAUGCCGGUAA